GACGAACGCUGGCGGCGUGCUUAACACAUGCAAGUCGAACGGAAAGGCCCUGCUUUUGUGGGGUGCUCGAGUGGCGAACGGGUGAGUAACACGUGAGUAACCUGCCCUUGACUUUGGGAUAACUUCAGGAAACUGGGGCUAAUACCGGAUAGGAGCUCCUGCUGCAUGGUGGGGGUUGGAAAGUUUCGGCGGUUGGGGAUGGACUCGCGGCUUAUCAGCUUGUUGGUGGGGUAGUGGCUUACCAAGGCUUUGACGGGUAGCCGGCCUGAGAGGGUGACCGGCCACAUUGGGACUGAGAGACGGCCCAGACUCCUACGGGAGGCAGCAGUGGGGAAUAUUGCACAAUGGGCGGAAGCCUGAGGCAGCAACGCCGCGUGCGGGAGGACGGCCUUCGGGUUGUAAACCGCUUUCGCCUGUGACGAAGCGUGAGUGACGGUAAUGGGUAAAGAAGCACCGGCUAACUACGU
rnacentral:rRNA from 1 species